CCUCCCACCCGUGUUUAUUUUACCUUGUUGCUUCGGCGGGCCCGCCUUAACUGGCCGCCGGGGGGCUUACGCCCCCGGGCCCGCGCCCGCCGAAGACACCCUCGAACUCUGUCUGAAGAUUGUAGUCUGAGUGAAAAUAUAAAUUAUUUAAAACUUUCAACAACGGAUCUCUUGGUUCCGGCAUCGAUGAAGAACGCAGCGAAAUGCGAUACGUAAUGUGAAUUGCAAAUUCAGUGAAUCAUCGAGUCUUUGAACGCACAUUGCGCCCCCUGGUAUUCCGGGGGGCAUGCCUGUCCGAGCGUCAUUUCUGCCCUCAAGCACGGCUUGUGUGUUGGGCCCCGUCCUCCGAUCCCGGGGGACGGGCCCGAAAGGCAGCGGCGGCACCGCGUCCGGUCCUCGAGCGUAUGGGGCUUUGUCACCCGCUCUGUAGGCCCGGCCGGCGCUUGCCGAUCAACCCAAAUUUUUAUCCAGGUUGACCUCGGAUCAGGUAGGGAUACCCGCUGAACUUAAGCAUAUC
rnacentral:rRNA from 1 species